rnacentral:rRNA from 1 species
GGAGGGUGCAAGUGUUAUUUAUCGUAACUGGGUGUAAAACGUCUGUAGAUGGUUUAAUAAGUUUUUAUUGAAAUUCAUGUAAAGUGUGUAUUUUUAUUAAUACUAUUAAACYUGAGUUUAAUUGAUUAAGNUGGUGCUUUGUAUGUAAAAGUGAAAUUUGURAAARUACAARGAACGAACAUUGGGCGAAGGCAGAUUUAAAAAUUAAACUGACAUUGAGMGACUAAAGCGUGGGGAGCAAACGGGAUUAGAGACCCCGGUAGUCCACGCCUUCAACGAUGGGUAUUACCUAUACUUUUAUUGAUUUAGACAAUAUCGAAAAGAUAUUGUUGUUAUUUCUAAUUAAAAUUCUAAAACUACGUAAAAAUCA